rnacentral:lncRNA from 1 species
GUGGCCGUCGGCCCGCAGAGGGAGCAAGAGAGCCCUUUAGAAUAGGAGGAAGAAGGAGAGAGCGGAAGAGAAAGAGAAAGGUUCAAGGGCAGUCAACAAAGAGUCGGGAAGACAAGGUCGUAUACAUAAAACAGUAGCAAGCACUGUAUUUGGUGAGUGUUUUAAUGAUACAUACUUAUGCUAUGUGCUGGACACCUUUGUUCAAAGUAAUGUGGACAAAUGAGAAAGAAAAAAGAGCUUGAAGAAUGCUUAUCUUAUAGUGGAGUAAUGGAAAGAAUAUACACAGAAUUAUAAUUGGAGAAACUGGGAUUGUUCAUAUAGAGGGGAUAGAAGGAAGUCACCACAAUGGAUAAAAUCACUGAGGGAUAAAGUAUGUGUCAAAAUAUACAACAGAGAUAAGGUUGAAAAUCAU